rnacentral:rRNA from 1 species
AUUGAACGCUGGCGGCAGGCCUAACACAUGCAAGUCGAGCGGAUGAAGGGAGCUUGCUCCUGUAUUCAGCGGCGGACGGGUGAGUAAUGCCUAGGAAUCUGCCUGGUAGUGGGGGAUAACGUCCGUAAACGGGCGCUAAUACCGCAUACGUCCUGAUGUAGAACGUGGGGGAUCUUCGGACCUCACGCUAUCAGAUGAGCCUAGUUCGGAUUAGCUAGUUGGUGGGGUAAAGGCCUACCAAGGCGACGAUCCGUAACUGGUCUGAGAGGAUGAUCAGUCACACUGGAACUGAGACACGGUCCAGACUCCUACGGGAGGCAGCAGUGGGGAAUAUUGGACAAUGGGCGAAAGCCUGAUCCAGCCAUGCCGCGUGAGUGAAGAAGGUCUUCGGAUUGUAAAGCACUUUAAGUGGGGAGGAAGGGAAGUAAGUUAAUACCUUGAUGUUUUGACGUUACCAACAGAAUAAGCACCGGCUAACUUCGUG